rnacentral:rRNA from 1 species
UGCACGCCUGCAGCGGUCACCCCUCACACACAAUCCAUCUCACCUUUGUGCAUCACCGCGUGGGUUCCUUUUUGAACACAAAAAGGGGGCUUGCGUUUUCACACAGACACCCUUUAUGAUUCAGUGUAGAAUGUGUUUUAUGUUUGCGAUCGUGCGCAAUCAAUACAACUUUCAACAACGGAUCUCUUGGCUCUCGCAUCGAUGAAGAACGCAGCGAAAUGCGAUACGUAAUGUGAAUUGCAGAAUUCAGUGAAUCAUCGAAUCUUUGAACGCAUCUUGCGCCCCUUGGCAUUCCGAGGGGCACACCCGUUUGAGUGUCGUGAAUUCCUCAACCUUCUCCGUUUCUUUUGAUCGGGGAAGGCUUGGACUUUGGAGGCUUUUGCUGGGCUUUCUCUCGAAGCCCAGCUCCUCUUAAAUGGAUUAGCAGGGUCUCCUCAGCCGAAUCCCUUGACGUGAUAAGCAGUUCUACGUCCUGGUUUUUGGCUCCUGCCCCCCCUCCCGUCUCGUUGAGACAACGUGUGACCCUUGACCUCAAAUCGGGUGAGACUACCCGCUGAACUUAAGCAUAUCAAUAAGCGGAGGAAAAGAAACUAACAAGGAUUCCCCUAGUAACUGCGAGUGAAGCGGGAAAAGCUCAAAUUUGAAAUCUGG